rnacentral:misc_RNA from 1 species
GAUGAAGAACGCAGCGAAAUGCGAUAAGUAAUGUGAAUUGCAGAAUUCAGUGAAUCAUCGAAUCUUUGAACGCACAUUGCGCCCCCCAGUAUUCUGGCGGGCAUGCCUGUUCGAGCGUCAUUUCAACCAUCAAGCCCUGCUUGUGUUGGGGUCCUGCGGCUGCCCGCAGGCCCUGAAAACCAGUGGCGGGCUCGCUAGUCACACCGAGCGCAGUAGCACAUCUCGCUCAGGGCGUGCGGCGAGCUCCAGCCGUUAAAGCACCCACCUUUCGCAAGGUUGACCUCGGAUCAGGUAGGAAUACCCGCUGAACUUAAGCAUAUCAAUAAGCGGAGGA